UAUAUUUAUUUUAUAAGGUAGUGUUAAGGGCGAAUUCAAAAAAACUUGGGCGAAUCGAAAUACAACACUGUACAGUAUUUGUUUUUGUUUAGGCGAAUUCUGGUGUAGGCACAAUGUCAAAAACAGCUGAUUUAUAAUAUGAGGCGAAUUUGUAAAAAUUAAAAAAAAAAGUUGUUUGUAAAUAAAAGAUUUUUUGAAAUAUAAUAAAAUUGUUAAAAUUCUUCGAACACUCUUCGGUCUAGACAAGAAAAUGCUAAAAUAACGUUUGUCGGCUGAUCAGUGGAAGGCUUGUUUGCAGCAGAAGGACACAAAGGCUCAACAAUUAUUUAUGGAUAUAAUUAUUUUAAAUAAUUGCCUUUUCAAGUUUUUAGUGAAAUCUUAAACUACAUAGAACUAAAACAGAAUGGAAUAUAUAUCGUCAGUAUAUUA